GUCUCCUCGGAGACAUCUGAUAAAAUUGGAACGAUACAGAGAUGAUUAGCAUGGCCCCUGCGUAAGGAUGACAUGCACAAAACGAGAAACGGUCCAGACUUUU
rnacentral:snRNA from 2 species